GAUUGCUCAGUUGGCGAGAGCAUGGUACAGAAAACACCAAGGUUGCUGGUUCGAUCCCCGUGAGGGACA